rnacentral:rRNA from 1 species
AUUGAACGCUGGCGGCAGGCCUAACACAUGCAAGUCGAACGAGUGGCGGACGGGUGAGUAAUGUCUGGGAAACUGCCCGAUGGAGGGGGAUAACUACUGGAAACAGUAGCUAAUACCGCAUACCAUCGGAUGUGCCCAGAUGGGAUUAGCUAGUAGGUGGGGUAACGGCUCACCUAGGCGACGAUCCCUAGCUGGUCUGAGAGGAUGACCAGACACACUUGAACUGAAAGACGGUCCAGACUCCUUCGGGUGUCAGCAUUGGGAAAAAUUGCACAAUGGGCGCAAGGCUGAGGGAGCCGUGCAGGGUGUAUGUAGUAGGCCAGCGGGUUAUAAAAUACUUUCAGCGAGGAUGCGUUACUCGCAGAAGAAGCAGCGGCUAACUCCGUGCCAGCCGCCGCGGUAAUAC